AUCGAUGGCUUACUUACUAUUGAAUUGAUUACCUGAAGUUGGAACUGAAGAGUUUUUAGGUACUCAAUAGCCUCAUCAAGCAUUGAUGCUUUGUCCACCUUGUUGCAGUUUGGUAUGAGUUUUUGAAGAGCUUUCAUUUUUUCAUUGAUCCUAUCCCUUCUUCUCUGUUGAAAAUAUAUAUACCCAUCCAAUGAAAUCCGAAAUUGAGAUUGAAAACAUAUAUCCUUUUUGUUUUUAUGUUCAAUAAUGUCGUACAUAUCAACUUACUUACUCUUUCUGAUAAAUUAUGAACUUCCGCAGCUCUGCUUCUUUUGUUAGUCGAUGAAGUGGAGCAGCUGUUGUGUUUUUUUGCACAAUCAGCAGAUUCAUCAUCUGGAUCCUGAAUGAGUGAAAAAGAAGGAAUGAUUCACAAACAAACAAUUACAAUUUACAAAUAAUUAACUGACUGACUUUGCUUUUAUUAGAAGAGCCGUUGCCUUCCAGUAGCUUCUUUUUGAUUUUAUGCUUUGGAACACUAGGUGCAGCUUCCGGCACUUUUCUUUCUUUGCCGGAACUAAUGAUGCCCUUUUCGUCCCACUUAAUGACGGGUGCAUUGUCUGUAGGGUUGAGAGUUUUCAGCUUUUCGGCAUUUUGAAGAUUGGUCUGGUGAAGAGCGACGGGUCUUGUGAAAUUGGAGAAAUUGAAAAACCCAGAGGUGACGGCGUCGGGAUCUUGGGUUGUUUGCAAUUUAUCCGAUGUAGUGGCAGCGGAU
rnacentral:lncRNA from 1 species